AGAACUAACGCUGGCGGCGUGCCUAACACAUGCAAGUCGAGCGGUCACCAAUUUGUUAGCAAUACAGAUGAAGUGAUAGCGGCAGACGGGUGAGUAACACGUAACCAAUCUACCUUACCGUCCGGGAUAACUAGCCGAAAGGUUAGCUAAUACCUGAUACGCCUAUUGAGCGGCAUCGUUUGAUAGUGAAAGCAGCAAUGCGCGGUUUGAGGAGGUUGCGGCCCAUUAGCCAGUUGGCGGGGUAACGGCCCACCAAAGCAACGAUGGGUAGCUGGUCUGAGAGGACGACCAGCCACACUGGGACUGAGACACGGCCCAGACUCCUACGGGAGGCAGCAGUGAGGAAUUUUCCGCAAUGGGCGAAGCCUGACGGAGCGACGCCGCGUGCACGAGGAGGUCUUCGGAUCGUAAAGUGCUGUCGAGGGGGACGAUUAUGACGGUACCCCUGGAGGAAGCCCGGCUAACUACGCGCCAGCAGCCGCGGU
rnacentral:rRNA from 1 species